UUGUAUCUAGAGAAGUGUUACCCGCGUUGGCCGUGUACAAGUCUCCUGGAAUGGAGCGUCAUAGAGGGGAAAUCCCGUCUUUGACACGGACUACCAAGGCUUUGUGGUGCGCUCUCAACGAGUCGAGUUGUUUGGGAAUGCAGCUCAAAAUGGGUGGUAAAUUCCAUCUAAAGCUAAAUACAGGCGAGAGACCGAUAGCGAACAAGUACCGUGAGGGAAAGAUGAAAAGAACUUUGGAAAGAGAGUUAAACAGUACGUGAAAUUGCUGAAAGGGAAACGCUGGAAGUCAGUCGCGUUGGCUAGGAAUCAACCUUGCUCUUUUGCAGGGCUUACUUCUUAGUGACGGGCCAACAUCAAUUUGACCAUUGGAGAAAGGCUUGGGGAAUGUGGCACCUUCGGGUGUGUUAUAGACCCGGUUGUAUACAGUGGUUGGGAUUGAGGAACGCAACGCCGAGGUAGGGUUUCGACCACACCCGUGCUUCGGAUGUUGGCAUAAUGGCUUUCAUCGACCCGUCUUGAACACGGACCAAGGAGUCUAACAUGCCUGCGAGUGUUUGAGUGGAAAACUCGAGCGCACAAUGAAAGUAAAAGUUGAGAUCUCUGUCAUGGAGAGCAUCGACGCCCGGACCUGAUGUAUACUGACGGUUCUGCGGUAGAGCAUGUAUGUUGGGACCCGAAAGAUGGUGAACUAUGCCUGAAUAGGGUGAAGCCAGAGGAAACUC
rnacentral:rRNA from 1 species